rnacentral:rRNA from 1 species
GGGGAAUAUUGGGCAAUGGGCGAAAGCCUGACCCAGCAACGCCGCGUGAAGGAAGAAGGCUUUCGGGUUGUAAACUUCUUUUAGCAGGGACGAAGACGUGACGGUACCUGCAGAAUAAGCUCCGGCUAACUACGUGCCAGCAGCCGCGGUAAUACGUAGGGAGCAAGCGUUAUCCGGAUUUACUGGGUGUAAAGGGCGCGUAGGCGGGAGUAUAAGUCAGAUGUGAAAUCUGGGGGCUCAACCCCCAAACUGCAUUUGAAACUGUAUUUCUUGAGUGAUGGAGAGGCAAGUGGAAUUCCUAGUGUAGCGGUGAAAUGCGUAGAUAUUAGGAGGAACACCAGUGGCGAAGGCGACUUGCUGGACAUUAACUGACGCUGAGGCGCGAAAGCGUGGGGAGCAAACA